rnacentral:rRNA from 1 species
GACGAACGCUGGCGGCGUGCUUAACACAUGCAAGUCGAACGGAAAGGCCCUGCUUUUGUGGGGUGCUCGAGUGGCGAACGGGUGAGUAACACGUGAGUAACCUGCCCUUGACUUUGGGAUAACUUCAGGAAACUGGGGCUAAUACCGGAUAGGAGCUCCUGCUGCAUGGUGGGUGUUGGAAAGUUUCGGCGGUUGGGGAUGGACUCGCGGCUUAUCAGCUUGUUGGUGGGGUAGUGGCUUACCAAGGCUUUGACGGGUAGCCGGCCUGAGAGGGUGACCGGCCACAUUGGGACUGAGAUACGGCCCAGACUCAUACGGGAGGCAGCAGUGGGGAAUAUUGCACAAUGGGCGGAAGCCGGAUGCAGCAACGCCGCGUGCGGGAUGACGGCCUUCGGGUUGUAAACCGCUUUCGCCUGUGACGAAGCGUGAGUGACGGUAAUGGGUAAAGAAGCACCGGCUAACUACGUG